UACGUAGGGUGCGAGCGUUGUCCGGAAUUAUUGGGCGUAAAGAGCUUGUAGGCGGUCUGUCGCGUCUGCUGUGAAAAUCCGGGGCUCAACCCCGGACUUGCAGUGGGUACGGGCAGACUAGAGUGUGGUAGGGGGGACUGGAAUUCCUGGUGUAGCGGUGAAAUGCGCAGAUAUCAGGAGGAACACCGAUGGCGAAGGCAGGUCUCUGGGCCACUACUGACGCUGAGAAGCGAAAGCAUGGGGAGCGAACAGG
rnacentral:rRNA from 1 species